rnacentral:pre_miRNA from 1 species
UAGAUUUACCAUCAGUCAAACUUGUUUAAUUUUGACCAAAUUUAUAGAAAAAUAUAAUAACAACUAUAGUACCAAAUAUAUGUAUUAUCAAAAUAUAUUUUAUGGUGAAAUCAGUGAAACAAAUUUGGUAUUGUAGAUGUUGUUAAAUUUUUCUAUAAAUUUGAUCAAAUGUAGACAAGUUUUACUUAGAACAAACCAAA